UACGUAGGGGGCAAGCGUUGUCCGGAUUUAUUGGGCGUAAAGAGCUCGUAGGCGGUUUGUCGCGUCGGAUGUGAAAACCCAGGGCUCAACCCUGGGCCUGCAUUCGAUACGGGCAGACUAGAGUAUGGCAGGGGAGACUGGAAUUCCUGGUGUAGCGGUGAAAUGCGCAGAUAUCAGGAGGAACACCGGUGGCGAAGGCGGGGUCUCUGGGCCAAAACUGACGC
rnacentral:rRNA from 1 species